rnacentral:lncRNA from 10 species
GUCCCCGGCUUUAGAAAGAAGACUUGACGCCUGUGACGACUCCCCUCUUAAGCCACAGACAAUAUGAGGACCCCGGGGGUCGGCGCGACCGGGCAGGAUCGCGCCCCGCUUGGGGCUGGACCCUGGUCCACGGAGCCCCGCCCCUAGCCCCGCCCACCACACCUGCCGCCUGCUCGAGGCUUGGACACGCCCGGGUCUUCUCUUGCCCCGCGCUGCGCCACCCGACCUGGGCCCUGGGAUGGGGCAGGGGCGGGGGGUGCUCGGCCCUGCCACACUGUGUGACCUUGGGAAGAUGCUUUUGCUGCUGCCAUUUCACAGACGGGAAAGCGACAACGGCCCGCCUGGACUUGAACACAGGCCCAAGGCCUUCUGACCACUUGCCCGCCUCUGCUGGGUAGGCUCAGGUUAGAGGGCCCUUUGCCCUCCCGGACCCAUUCCUAGGCCAUUGGGGCAGCUCCCUGGGCCCACCUCUCUGCCACUCCUAGCCCAGGCCACCUAGGCAGGAGCUCCCAGCCUGCCCGGGGCUGAUCCCCAGCCCACUGACCCCAGCCCUGGCCCCAGCGGGCAGGCGGGCAUUGCUCAACCUUUGGUGUUAUCUGCUGAGCUGGGGUGACCUCCGCCCCCAAGAGCUGGAGAAAUGACAUCUCUGGGCACCCUUGGUGGGUAGGAGGCAGGGAGGGAGGGGAUAAAACACUGGCCCAGCCUGCUGGCUUUCUGGGUCUUCCCAGCAGCCUCUGGGUUGGGGAGGGAUCAAGGCCCAGAGGGGUGCGGCAGCUUCCCUAGGGCCACCCGGCCAGCCCUUCCUCACUGCAAAAUGGGACACUCAGGGCUGAGCUAGAGGCCACGGCUUCUGAGAGGCCCUCCCUGUCCCACCUGCUAGUGAAUUUCCUUCCCUAUCGCCAGCCACCAUUAUCCUAGCUGUCUACCUCAGUCUCCCUGCAGGCUGCCACUUGGGGAGGGCUGGCCCACGAGGGACUCCUGAGCACAGCACGCUCAACAUUUACCAGUGAAGGAAUGCAUUUGCUGUUCCCUGUGCACCAAGAACACUGUCACCCCACCUCUGCCCAAGGCAGCUCCUCAGGUCUCAGCCCAAAAGCUGCCUCCUCCGGGAAACCCUCCCUGACCUUCCCAUGGGAAGUCUAGGCCCUCAGUCACUCCUCUCACACCCCUGCUUCAUUUCCGUCACCAUUCUCAUUAUAAUCAGAAUUAUCUUGCCUGCCAGUCUUGCUGUCUGUCCCCACGGCCUUCACUACUGUGUCCCUGGUGCCUAGAACAGAGCCUGGUACAUAGAAGGUGCUCGAUGAAUGCUUUUCCCUAUCCCAUUUUCAAGAGGAGAAAACUGAGGCGAUUUGCCAAGGGGAGAUCCACGUGGCUGCUUUGACAGAGAGUGUUCUGCAAAAGGGCUUAGAAAUCAGCCAGCAGGUGGGAAAAUAUGGCGGAGAGGUGAACCAUCAGAACAUGAAUGGGGGGGUGUCUCUAGUGGGCGUGGGGCAGGGGGAUGGCAGGGGGAUGGCCUUUCAUGCUGCCCUGUGCCUUCCAUGCUGUGGCUCUCCGGCCGUGUCUGGUGUCCCCUCUGGGCCUCAGUCCCUGGUAUAUAAAAUGAGGUGAUAAUAUUCUAUCUGGGAUUCUGGGCCUGCUGUUACCCCUCACUGCUGGCCUUCCCCGACACAUUAGAGUUAAUCAGAUGUCCCUUUCACCCCACAAAGCAGGCAGAUGGGGAAACUGAGGCCCGAAGAGGAUUAGAACUUCCUACUUCCCCCUCCAAAUCCCCCUUGUACCCUUGUGAAUGGGUACAAGAGCCAGACUUAAAAGCCAGAUUCCCUGAUUCCAAUGUUUGAGAUUUUCCCCAUCAUGCCUCCUCUCUGAGGCCUCAGUUUCCCCAUCUGCCAAGUGGGGCUGGCAGAGAUAGAUCCCCAAGGGCUGCCAGGCUCCGAGGUUCUGAGAUCCAGGAUUUUGGAGACGGGAGGUGCUCAGGACCGGUAGUGAAACUUGCCUGAGUAUAUACUGCCCCCAGGUGGCAGGUUCUGGGACUGCAGGAGCCAUUCACAUGCGUGAAGAUCCGCUGGGCGCCCUUGCUCUGGGAUCAGGAAAGGCCGGUGCCAUGGAUGUGAUAGAUGCACACAGGGCAUCAGCAGGCCGCCGAGAGGAACCAGAGUGUCCAACGAACAGAAAACAGUGCUCAACCUUCACAUUUAUCGAAUGUUCCUUGGCACAUGCUGUAAUUCUGGCCCUAAAGACACAUUCAUGGACAAGACAAGCAAUUCCUGUUCUCGUGGAGCUGAAAUUCUCCUGGGGGAAGACAAGCACUAAACAAGAUCAAUGAUUAAAGUAUAGAUUGUAUUAGAUUCUGGUCAGCACUAUGGAGGAAAAUACAGCAGGGGAGCAGAGCAGGAGUUCUGGGAGAUUUGAUUUUUUGUUUUCUGGGGUUUUUUGUUUGUUUGUUUUUUGAGACAGGGUCUCACUGCUGGAGUGCAGUGGCACGAUCUCUGCUCACUGCAGCCUCUGCUUCUUGGGCUCAGGUGAUCCUCCCACCUCAACCUCCCAAGUAGCUGGGACCACAGGGGCAUGCCACCACACCCAGCUGAUUUUUUAAUGUUUUGUAGAGAUCAGGUCUCAUUAUAUUGCCCAAGCUGGGGGAGUUGAUUUUAACUUUAUGUUAGAGUAGUCAGGGAAGACCUCACUGAGGUGACAUUUAAGCAAAAACCUGAAUGUGGUGAAGCAGGUAUCUGGGGGACCUUGGACCACACAAAGGGAACAGCAAGUGCAAAGGCCCUGAGGUAGGAGCACGUAGUUGUGGUGAUGACGGAGAGUAGCAGGAAUUUGUGUCAUAGAAAUAGUGGGGGCUGGCCAGGCACAGCGGCUCAUGCCUGCAAUCCUAGCACUUUGGGAGGCCGAGGUGGGUGGAUUACUUGAGGUCAGGAGUCUGAGACCAGCCUGGCCAACAUGGUGAAACCCCAUCUCUACUAAAAAUUAAAAAAAAAAAAAUGGCCAGGCAUGGUGGCGUGCAUCUGUAAUCCCAGCUAUUCAGGAGGCUGAGACAUGAGAAUCACUUGAACCCGGGAGGCGGAGGUUGCAGUGAGCCGAAAUUGUGCCUCUGCACUCCAACCUGGGUGACAAAGCAAGACUCUGCCUCCAAAAAAAAAAAAAUGGAACAUGGAAACAUGGAAUGGGAGAAAAUAUUUGCAAAUCAUAUAUCUGAUAAGGGGUUCAUAUCCAGAAUACAUAAAGAACUGUUACAACUCAACAGCAAUAAAAACAACUCAAUUAAAAAUGGGCAAAGGACUUGAAUAAACAUUUCUCCAGAGAAAACUGUGAAUGGCUAAUAAUCACAUGAUAAGAUACUCAACAUCACUAACCAUUAAGGAAAUACAAACCAAAACUGCAAUGAGGCGCAACACUUUGGUGGAUCACCUGAGGUCAAGAGUUGGAGACCAGCCUGGCCGACACGGUGAAACCCCGUCUCUACUAAAAAUACAAAAAUUAGCUGGGCGUGAUGGUACGUGCGUAUAGUCCCAGCUACUUGGGAGGCUGAGGCAGGAGAAUCACUUGAACCUGGGAGGUGGAGGUUGCAGCAAGCCAAGAUCACGCCACUGCACCCCAGCCUGGGCAACUGAGUGAGACUCCAUCUAAAAAACAAACAAAACGCAAUGAGAAGAGAGGAUUUUGAAUGUUCCCGACACAAAGAAAUGAUAAACGCUUGAGGUAAUGGAUAUCCUAAUUACCCAGAUUUGAUUAUUACACGUUGUAUACAUGUAUUGAAAUAUCAUUUUGUAACCCAUGAACAUGUACAAUUAUGUGUCAACUAAAAAUAAAAGGAAUAAAACACAAUGAGAUACCACCUUACGCCCAUUAGGCUGGCUGCUGCGUUGGGAAGGAUGUGUAGAAACUGGAAUGCUUGUGUAGCUACUGUGGGAAAUGGUAUGGCUGUUCCUCAAAAAAUUAAAAAUAGAAUUACCAAAUGACCCAGCAAUUUUAUUUCUGGGUGUGUAUCCAAACGAAUUGAAAGCAAGAUCUUGAAGAGAUAUUUGUACACUCACGUUCAUAGCAGCCUUCUUCACAAUAGCCAAAAGGUGGAAGCAAUUAGCUGGGUGUGGUGGCGGGUGCCUGUAAUCCCUGCUACUU